UACGAAGGGGGCUAGCGUUGCUCGGAAUUACUGGGCGUAAAGCGCACGUAGGCGGAUUGUUAAGUCGGGGGUGAAAUCCUGGAGCUCAACUCCAGAACUGCCUUCGAAACUGGCGAUCUUGAGUCCGGGAGAGGUGAGUGGAACUGCGAGUGUAGAGGUGAAAUUCGUAGAUAUUCGCAAGAACACCAGUGGCGAAGGCGGCUCACUGGCCCGGUACUGACGCUGAGGCACGAAAGCGUGGGGAGCGAACCGG
rnacentral:rRNA from 1 species